UACGUAGGGGGCUAGCGUUGUCCGGAAUCAUUGGGCGUAAAGCGCGUGUAGGCGGCCCGGUAAGUCCGCUGUGAAAGUCGGGGGCUCAACCCUCGAAUGCCGGUGGAUACUGUCGGGCUAGAGUGCGGAAGAGGCGAGUGGAAUUCCUGGUGUAGCGGUGAAAUGCGCAGAUAUCAGGAGGAACACCGGUGGCGAAGGCGACUACCUGGCCUGUUCUUGACGCUGGAGGCGACGAAAGCUAGGGGAGCAAACAGG
rnacentral:rRNA from 1 species